rnacentral:rRNA from 1 species
UACGUAGGGGGCAAGCGUUGUCCGGAAUUAUUGGGCGUAAAGAGCGUGUAGGCGGUCCGGUAAGUCAGCUGUGAAAGUCAAGGGCUCAACCCUUGAAUGCCGGUUGAUACUGUCGGGCUAGAGUCCGGAAGAGGCGAGUGGAAUUCCCGGUGUAGCGGUGAAAUGCGCAGAUAUCGGGAGGAACACCAAUGGCGAAGGCGGCGACCUGGGCCAAUACUGACGCUGAGGUGCGAAAGCGUGGGGAGCAAACAGG